GGCGAUGCGAUCUUCGCUCCCGGGGGGAGU
rnacentral:sRNA from 1 species